rnacentral:rRNA from 1 species
AAAUGCAUCUUCUUUUCAAUAGCUCAUUCCAUAAAAACUCCACAGUUAAGUGUGUUUGACUUUGAGUAGUAUUUGGAUGGGUGACCUUCUGAUAAGUUUUCCAGAAAGCGUGUG